CCUCGUCCCCAACUGGGGGGAAACAGAGUCCCAAGGAGAAGCGAUUUACUUGCCCAGUGUCACACGGCUGGGGGCGCGGGGACAGGAUGGAGAGGAGCCUGAAAUGAAGGAAAAGUCGGCCAAGCCGAUAUGAGGUCAUGGAUGAAAUGUGCUUUAGAACAAUGCCUGGCUCAAGACAGAAAGCAGCACUGUCAAGAGUUCAAAGCAGAGACUCCUGACAGCAUUAGCGCCACCCCACGUGCCACAUGGCAGACUGGCUUCUGCUCCCAGCUGCUGGCAGGUGCCCCCAGCAGCAGCUCUCAGUGCUGGCUCCACAUCAGAACCACCUGGGACUUUCAAAAUCCUGACACCUGGGCCCCACCCCCAGAGCUGCUAAUGGAGCUCACCCAGGGUGGGGCCUGGGCAUGGGGACUUUCAGAAUCUUGCCAAGGGGUUCAACGUCCAGCCAGGGCUGAAGACGACUGACCCUGAAUGGUUACCCGUAAUGCCCGGCACAUGUCGUCGAGGGGGAAAAGCGAGUUGAGGGAUCUGCACGAUGCUUGGCACAUAGUAGGUGCUCAGUACGUGUUCACUGCAGGGUUGAUGUGUACAGAGUGGCUUCCCUGCCUUUUUAUUUUCUUCCAUCACACAGGACAGAGCUGGGGUGGCCCCGGCCACACACACCAGGGUCCUUCUGGAAGGUGGACCGGGGGGGCGGGGGGAGAUCACUUACACUUUUUAACGUAUGUGCUUCUCGAGCUGCCAUUUUUCACUCCAAACAUGUAUCCUUUUAACAGUUAAUAGUAAAGAAAAUGACUUGCCAGCUGUUAA